AGUGAACGCUGGCGGUAGGCCUAACACAUGCAAGUCGAACGGCAGCACAGAGGAGCUUGCUCCUUGGGUGGCGAGUGGCGGACGGGUGAGGAAUACAUCGGAAUCUACUCUGUCGUGGGGGAUAACGUAGGGAAACUUACGCUAAUACCGCAUACGACCUACGGGUGAAAGCAGGGGAUCUUCGGACCUUGCGCGAUUGAAUGAGCCGAUGUCGGAUUAGCUAGUUGGCGGGGGAAAGGCCCACCAAGGCGACGAUCCGUAGCUGGUCUGAGAGGGUGAUCAGCCACACUGGAACUGAGACACGGUCCAGACUCCUACGGGAGGCAGCAGUGGGGAAUAUUGGAAAAUGGGCGCAAGCCUGAUCCAGCCAUACCGCGUGGGUGAAGAAGGCCUUCGGGUUGUAAAGCCCUUUUGUUGGGAAAGAAAUCCAUCUGGUUAAUACCCGGGUGGGAUGACGGUACCCAAAGAAUAAGCACCGGCUAACUUCGUGCCAGCAGCCGCCGUAA
rnacentral:rRNA from 1 species